rnacentral:rRNA from 1 species
AUGGCGGAGCUCGGUGGCAUGCUUGCUGCGGCCAUCCUCAAGGUGGUUGGCGAGCAGAUUGGUUCGGCGAUCGGAAGUCAGAUCGCGCUGCUGAAGAACUUCGACAAGGACCUCAAGAAGAUGAAGAUGGCUCUAGAGAGUGUGAAUGGCGUGCUUGAGGAUGCCGAGAGGCAGUCGAUCACAGAUAAAUCAACGAAGCGGCUCAAGGACUUCCUGUAUGAGAUCUCCGACAUGAUUGAUGAGUUCCAAGCAGACACACAAGCCAUCACCCAGCCGUCUGCACGCAAGAUGAACUUGAACAACGACCUGAAGAAGAUGAAGAUGGCGCUGGAGAGUGUCGAUGCCGUGCUCGAAGAUGCCGAGAGGCGGUCCAUCACGGAUAAAUCGACACGUCUUUGGCUAAAGCGGCUCAAGGACUUCAUGUAUGUCAUCCCGGACAUGAUUGAUGAGUUCGAAGCAGACACACAAGCCAUCACCCAGCCAUCUGCGCGCAAGUUCUCCUUCAAAAAAUAUUUGGCGUUCAUGAUCCCUUGUCUCACAAUUGGCCCCAACAUUACAAUGGCCAAUAGGAUGAAGAACAUGAGGGAUGACCUGAAGGUCAUAACAGAUCAACACAAGGAAUUCAAGUUAACAGAUCGCACUAAUGCCAAUGAGCCAAAGGUGACUGAUAUACGGGAAACAUCAUCAACCCUGGAGACACAAAUCAUUGGGAGGACUGAGGAGAGAGAUAUAAUAUUGGCUUCUUUAUCUGAGAGCAUGACAAAGGAUAUCACAAUCCUUCCUAUAUAUGGCAUUGGAGGCCUUGGCAAGACAACCAUGGCAAAAAUGGUUUACAAUAGUUCCCAAUUCAAUGAAUACUCUCAAGUGUGGGUUUACGUGUCUCAGACAUUUGAUUUGAUCAAAAUUGGGAACUCUAUAAUAUCACAGCUAUCAGAGAAAGAUAAAGAGAGUGGGUACACUGGAAAGCAGAUGAUCCGUAAUUCCCUUGAAAAGCUCCUUGCCAACAAGAAGAUUCUGAUUGUUUUAGAUGACCUGUGGGAAGACGACAUAUCUCAGUUGGAAGAACUGAAAGAUAUGUUAAAAGUUGGGGAGAGCAAUAAGGUGGUUGUUAUAGCAACCACACGGAGUGAAGGUAUUGCAAAGAAGAUGUCUACCAUCCAACCAUAUAAAUUAGCACCCUUGACUGAUGAUAUGUGUUGGUCUAUUAUAAAGCAAAAGAGUGCAUUUGAAUCUAGAGGUGACAAAGAACAAUUGGUGGAAAUAGGCAAGGUCAUUGCAAUGAAGUGUGCGGGUGUGGCUUUAGCAGCUAAAUCACUUGGACACACGCUGCAAUCUAUGAAGUCUGGUCAAUGGGAAUCAGUGAGAGAUAGUAAUAUCUGGACUGCACCUUCUUUGGAAGAUACAUCUUCUACACAAGUUCUUGCAUCUCUGAAGUUGAGCUAUAGUGUUUUGCCUUCGUAUCUGAAGCUAUGCUUUGCCUAUUGUGCAAUAUUUCCAAAAGGUCACAAGAUACUUAAAGAUGAUCUUGUUCGUCAGUGGGUUUCUCUUGGUUUCUCUUCCUGGGAACUCGGCGAGAGAUACAUUAGUCAGCUUUUGGGCCUUUCUUUUCUUGACCACUUCAAGUCAUCAUCGACUUUUGAGCUAUAUGAUGAAGAUGUUAUAUUGUUCACCAUGCAUGACCUGGUGCAUGAUUUAGCAAGAUCGGUCAUGGACGAUGAAAUUCUUUUUGUUGGCAAAAGCACUAAUGCUGCAGAAAGCCGCUACCACUAUGCAUUGCUCGAUGAUUGUAACAAGCCUUUGGGAUCGGACUUGUCCAAGAUAAGAGCGUUGCGUUUUAUGGAUUGUGACAAAUAUGAACUUCAUGAUGCUGCAUUUUCAUCUGCCAAGUCUUUGCGUGUCUUGGACUUAAGUGAGUGCGCCAUAUAUACGUUGGCGGAUUGUAUUGGUGAACUCAAGCAAUUGAGAUAUCUUAAUGCUCCAAGUGUCCAAGAUGCAAAGAUUCCAGACACUAUCACCAAGCUCUCAAAAUUGAUUUAUCUGAAUCUUCAUGGAUCUCCUACAAUCUUAGCAUUACCAGAGGCAAUUGGAGAAAUUGAGAGUCUAAUGUAUCUUGAUUUGUCAAGUUGUUCGGGAAUCACAAAACUGCCAGAAUCAUUCAGGAGGCUACAAAAACUGGCGCAUUUGGACUUAUCAAAUUGCUCUUCUGUGGGAGGAAUAUCAGUGUUCUUGGAGAGUCUCACACAGCUAGAGUAUUUGAACUUAUCAUACUGCCCAAAUAUCGGAGAUAUACCAGAAGUUCUGAGCGGCCUAUCCAAACUGCAGUAUUUGAACUUAUCAAACAGCUCAUAUCUUGAAUGUGGUAAAGAAGCAGAAUUUUUGGGUGCCCUCACCAAACUCGAGUAUUUGAACUUAUCUUCAAGGAAAUGUGGACUCAAGAAGUUCCCUGAAUCUUUGGGCGGAUUCAGUCAACUCAAGUACUUAAACUUAUCAGGUUGGCGAUAUAUGAAAAAAUUGCCAAGAUUAUUUGGGAGUCUGAAGAAUCUGCUCCAUCUUGACUUAUCACAUUGUUAUAUGGCUGAUGGAGUACAUGAUGCUUUGGUCGGUUUUACCAGUCUGCAACAUUUGAAUUUACAAUAUACACAGCUCAGUUUGCUGCCAGAUGAUCUGACCAAGCUCCGGUAUUUAAAUCUCUCUAGACUAAGAAACAUACCGCCAGUAGAUUCCUUGGAUGAACCGCACAUAGAUGAAUUUGGUGUUCUCCUUGCAAAAACCUGGGACAUUCUCCUCAACCAGAUAUGCAGAAUUGAUCUUUCAGAGCUAGAGCAUUUGGACUUGUCUGGAAAUUAUGGUAUGGAAGGAAUACCUGAAAGUAUUUGUAGCCUGACAAAACUUCACACAUUGGACCUCUCGGGAUGCACAGAUUUGAAGAAAAUACCUGAAAGUAUAUGUACAGUUGGUAGCUUGAAGUUUCUUUAUUUAGAGAAUUGUUACGAUCUUCCAAAAAUACCUCAACUCGGUAGCAGUGCAAUAUCGUUACCACACUUUGUGGUGCGUGCUGGUAAUGAUGGAUCUAGCAGCAAUCUUGUCCUGCUAAAGUCCACAUAUCCUUCUGAGCUGGAGAUAACUAAACUUGAAAAUGUGAAGUCCGCAUGA